CGUGCACAUUGUUAGAGCUUGGAGUUGGAGGCCACUGAUUGGCCCAUGAACUCGCAAGUGUAGGUAGUGUGCUACAUGAGAGGCAAGUUUCUCGCUGACACCACAAGGGUCCCGGCCCAAUGAGUGGAGUUGGAUAGUGACACUUGCUACAUGC
ensembl:snoRNA SNORA62 Small nucleolar RNA SNORA62/SNORA6 family